rnacentral:lncRNA from 1 species
GAGAAGAGAAGAGCUAGGAGAGACCAGCGGGCGGUAGCUGCGGCGAGUGGCCUCUCCGUGCGGCACAGAGGCAAGAAGCAGCCAUCCAUCCAGAAGCAGCCUCCGUGUUCCGUUUGUCCGGAUGUCAUCGUAGGUGGCCGGCAUCUCUGGCUUUGGGCUUCUCCCCUGGGGGCGGGUGGGUGCUCCACCCUCCCGCCCACUCUCUGAGGACAUGAGGAACAUGGUAUCCAGCACCACGGACAGCUCCCAGCGGUUCCUUGAAUGCUUGGUUUAUGUGCCUGGCUGGAGGAGACACCCAUGGCCUUGCAGAGGGAGCGUUCUGGUGGGAAAGCAGACACAACCCACCCUAGGCCCGUGGUUUCCCUGCAAGAAGCCCAGUGGCUUUCUGGAGGACACUUUUCCUGGAGGAAGUGACUCAAGAGCAGCAUAAGCCAGGCUCUAUGGAAUGUUGGGUGAGCUGCUUGAGGAACUCCAAGGCCUGUCCCACAGUCUUCCAGCCUCCGACUCUCCGGCCCUCAGCGAGGAAGUCCCACUGGUUUUUUUGGUUGGUUUUUUUUUUUUUUUUUAAGGUUUUUUGGUUUUUUUUUUUUUUUCUCAUUCCUGUCUUGGGAGCUUUCCCCAACCAGGAGAGUGAAGAUGGGCGGAGCUGUCACACCAACUGUUAGCCUGCCUUGGCUGAGAGGAGAGGAGGCGAGGAGGGAGCGACCACCCAGCUUUAGUCGUUUUAAAACAGCUCCUGACCCUAGAAGAAGGGAAAUGGAGAUGAAGACCCAAUUGACUUGGCUUCCCUCCCUCCCAGUGCUGAUUUCCUGUGGACCAGAUUCCAGCACAGUGGAGGGCCAGAGCUCAGGGAACAGACCCAGCAGCACAGCAAGUCUCCAAGGAAAGCUCUAGCAGUCUCCAGGGGCUGAAGGCAGGACUGGGGAAGCGGCUAGCCAGGCUGCAGAAGGCAAAUGCUCCCAGACGGCUGUCCAGCACGCAUCCGCCUUCCUAGCCAAGUUUCCUGGGCUCCUGCCACAGAUCUAAGCCUCAUCCUGACAUCCUGCCCUCUGUGCUCUGGGAUGGCCCAGGGGAGAUGCUUAGCCUUGGCUCCUUGUCUGCUGGUGGAGGGGACACACACCCUUUCUGGACCACAGACCAAAAAGAAGACCUGACGUCAUCCUGAGCACCCCCGCCAUGCAGAGUGUGUUCGCAGACUGCCAACGGGCUGGCUCCGGCCAGCAGAAGUGAACAGAGGUGGAGGUUCAGCCUGACAGCUUCUCCCCAAAGCCAUGGAGAGAAAACCUUACCACCCCCACCGCCCAGCUACUUCCAGCAAGUUGUCCAGCCUGACCCCUCUAUUUCCCCUGUUGUCUCUUAUCUGGGUCCCUGAGACCCACCCCAUCUCCAAUAAAGAACAUUGCAUACUGUG